rnacentral:rRNA from 1 species
AUUGAACGCUGGCGGCAGGCCUAACACAUGCAAGUCGAGCGAGCGGCGCACGGGUGAGUAAUGUCUGGGAAACUGCCUGAUGGAGGGGGAUAACUACUGGAAACGGUAGCUCAUACCGCAUACCAUCAGAUGUGCCCAGGUGGGAUUAGCUAGUAGGUGGGGUAACGGCUCCCGGAGGCGACGAUCCCUAUCUGGUCUGAGAGGAUGACAAGCCACACUGGAACUGAGACACGGUCCAGACUCCUACGGGAGGCAGCAGUGGGGAAUAGUGCACAAUGGGCGCAAGCCUGAUGCAGCCAUGCCGCGUGUGUGAAGAAGGCCUUCGGGUUGUAAAGCACUUUCAGCGGGGAGGCGUUACCCGCAGAAGAAGCACCGGCUAACUCCGUGCCAGCAGCCGCGGUAAUAC